UUGGCUUGUUGCCUAAUCUUCAAGUGCUUAAGCUAAGAAAGCACGCUUGCACUGGCGACACGUGGGAAACGAGUGAAGGAGGAUUCUCUCAGCUUACCUAUCUGCUGAUUGACGAAUCCAAUCUGGAGAAUUGGUUAACUCAAACCUCUCAUUUCCCAAAACUCAGGUCUUUGUUGUUGCGGUGUUGUUUGCGUUUGUUAGAGGUCCCGAACGAUAUUGGACAAGUUCCCUCACUCGAAUUGAUUGAAUUGGAUGGGCAGAACAACUCUCUAUUGCGCUCAGCCAAUAUGAUUCAAAAGGAUCGGCAUAGUUUGGGAGAUGAUCGCCUUCAAGUUCAUGUUGUUUGAAAGAUGGGAAAGAGCAAAGAUCAAAACAAGUUAUAGAAGUAAAUGAUGAGAAGAAACAAGUAAAAUUCAAAGUGAUUGAAGGAGAUGUUUUGAAGCUUUACAAAAACAUGGUGAUAAGCUAUGAUGUUGAGACCAAAGGAGGCAUAGAUUUCGCAACUCGGACUAUAGAGUAUGAGCUCCUCAAACCAGAUAAUCCACAUCCAGUGGGGCUCUUGAAUUUUGGACUUGAAUUAUCUAUUUAUGUAAAGUAAAAGUAACAUAUAGUAUAAAUUUGAUGAUGCUAUAUUGUAUGUGCAUGUGUAUGUUUGUAGUGAAUAAAGCAUCGGUGAAUGAAUUCAAAUGAGUGUUUUUGAGGUU